CCUACGGGAGGCAGCAGUCGAGAAUCUUCGGCAAUGGACGCAAGUCUGACCGAGCGACGCCGCGUGCGGGAUGAAGGCCUUCGGGUUGUAAACCGCUGUCAGAGGGGAUGAAGUGUACGGGAGUUAUCUCCUGUAUUUGACAGAGCCUCAGAGGAAGCACGGGCUAAGUUCGUGCCAGCAGCCGCGGUAAUACGAACUGUGCGAACGUUAUUCGGAAUCACUGGGCUUAAAGGGUGCGUAGGCGGCUGCCUAAGUCAGGUGUGAAAUCUCUCGGCUCAACCGGGAAACUGCGCUUGAUACUGGGCGGCUCGAGUGAGGUAGGGGUGUGUGGAACUUCCGGUGGAGCGGUGAAAUGUGUAGAUAUCGGAAGGAACGCCAGCAGCGAAAGCGGCACACUGGGCCUUUUCUGACGCUGAGGCACGAAAGCUAGGGGAGCGAACGGGAUUAGAUACCCGGUAGUCCUAGCCGUAAACACUGAACACUCGAGGAGGGGGCGUUCGGCCUUCUUUCUCUUAGCGAAAGCGUUAAGUGUUCCGCCUGGGGAGUAUGGUCGCAAGGCUGAAACUCAAAGGAAAUUGACGG
rnacentral:rRNA from 1 species